AACGAACGCUGGCGGCAGGCUUAACACAUGCAAGUCGAACGCCCCGCAAGGGGAGUGGCAGACGGGUGAGUAACACGUGGGAAUCUACCUUGCUCUGCGGAACAACUCCGGGAAACUGGAGCUAAUACCGCAUACGCCCUAACGGGGAAAGGUUUACUGGAGCAAGAUGAGCCCGCGUCCGAUUAGCUAGUUGGUGGGGUAAAGGCCUACCAAGGCGACGAUCGGUAGCUGGUCUGAGAGGAUGAUCAGCCACACUGGGACUGAGACACGGCCCAGACUCCUACGGGAGGCAGCAGUGGGGAAUAUUGGACAAUGGGCGCAAGCCUGAUCCAGCCAUGCCGCGUGAGUGAUGAAGGCCUUAGGGUUGUAAAGCUCUUUUGUCCGGGAAGAUAAUGACAGUACCGGAAGAAUAAGCCCCGGCUAACUUCGUGCCAGCCGCCGCGGUAAAAC
rnacentral:rRNA from 1 species